rnacentral:rRNA from 2 species
UUCAGUGGCGAACGGGUGAGUAACGCGUGGAUAAUCUACCUAUGAGAUGGGGAUAACUAUUAGAAAUAGUAGCUAAUACCGAAUAAGGUCAGUUAAGAUGUUAUUGAUGAAAGGAAGCCUUUAAAGCUUCGCUUGUAGAUGAGUCUGCGUCUUAUUAGCUAGUUGGUAGGGUAAGAGCCUACCAAGGCUAUGAUAAGUAACCGGCCUGAGAGGGUGAACGGUCACACUGGAACUGAGAUACGGUCCAGACUCCUACGGGAGGCAGCAGCUAAGAAUCUUCCGCAAUGGGCGAAAGCCUGACGGAGCGACACUGCGUGAACGAAGAAGGUCGAAAGAUUGUAAAGUUCUUUUAUAAAUGAGGAAUAAGCUUUGUAGGAAAUGACAAGGUGAUGACGUUAAUUUAUGAAUAAGCCCCGGCUAAUUACGUGCCAGCAGCCGCGGUAAUACGUAAGGGGCGAGCGUUGUUCGGGAUUAUUGG